rnacentral:rRNA from 1 species
CCUACGGGAGGCAGCAGUAAGGAAUAUUGGUCAAUGGAGGCAACUCUGAACCAGCCAUGCCGCGUGCAGGAUGACGGCCCUAUGGGCUGUAAACUGCUUUUAUACAAGAGAAAACCCUGGUACGUGUACCAGGUUGAUAGUAUUGUAAGAAUAAGCAUCGGCUAACUUCGUGCCAGCAGCCGCGGUAAGACGAAGGAUGCAAGCGUUAUCCGGAUUCAUUGGGUUUAAAGGGUGCGUAGGCGGACUGAUAAGUCAGUGGUGAAAUCUCUUUGCUUAACAAAGAAACUGCCAUUGAUACUGUCGGUCUAGAGUAUAGAUGACGUUGGCGGAAUAUGACAUGUAGUGGUGAAAUACUUAGAUAUGUCAUAGAACACCGAUUGCGAAGGCAGCUAACGAAACUAUAACUGACGCUGAGGCACGAAAGUGCGGGGAUCAAACAGGAUUAGAUACCCUGGUAGCCCGCACCGUAAACGANANAUACUCGUGUG